AGCUGAUCGUAGAGGUAGUGUCAUAGACAAAGAGGCAUUACCGAGGCAUGACUAUUGCUAUUUGAAACCAUGAUUCUAAUUUAAGAAACGACUCAAGUAAGGAAGGUCUUUAAAUUACAACAUUUCUGAUUAUAUAAUAUCUUCUAGUAUA
rnacentral:snRNA from 1 species